UGGAUAGCUCAGUUGGUUAGAGCGUGGUGCUGAUAACCCCAAGGUUGCAGGUUCGAUCCUGUAUUGGAAAA